GACGUAGGAUGCAAGCGUUGUCCGGAUUCAUUGGGCGUAAAGAGUUCGUAGGUGGUUUGUUAAGUCACUGGUGAAAGUUUUCGGCCCAACCGGAAAAUUGCCUGUGAUACUGGCGAACUUGAGUGCGUGAGGGGUGGGGGGAACGAGCAGUGUAGCGGUGAAAUGCGUAGAUAUUGCUCGGAAGGCCGGAGCCGAAGGGGCCCCACUGGUACGUAACUGACGCUGAGGCACGAAAGCGUGGGGAGCAAACAGG
rnacentral:rRNA from 1 species